UUCUGCUAAACAGAAGUUAUAUGUAACCAAACAAGGCUUUUCAUAAACGGAAUACUUCAUUAACUUAAAGCCUAAAUUAAAUUGUAGGUGAGAGUGAAAGUUUGUAGGAAAAAUAAACAAAAUUACAACAAUGAAAAAACAAAUUUAUGGGAGAGAAAGGAAGCAGCUACACAAAAGCCUGAGCUGUACAUAUUGGAGCUAACACUCUGGAGACUAACUAGGUGUUAACCAUAGAGGAGGUGGAUGGAACAACAGUCACUCAGAAGAACAUAAUCUGUGCUAACCACAGAAGAUUGUAAAAGAAGAUGCUGAAGAUAGACAGAGCCACCGUGGGAGAACACAUCACAACCCAGAGCCUCCAGUCUGAGGAGUGUGGACCCGAGGAGAAGCUCCAGGACUUGUCCCCAUAUUCAGCUGCUUCCCAGGAGGCUGACAGUGGAUAGGCCAAACCAGCCUGAGACAAGAGAGAUUAGAGUGAGUCUAGAAACCAAAGGGGAAAGAGAGUAUAUGCUGUUGGCAGAGUCAGGGAAAGGAUUUUCUGCAUCAUCUACAUGCUAGUGGGUGCCUGUUUCAGUGGAUUGGUGCAUCAGGGUCUUCCCCAGCUGGAGGUAUCUGAUAAACCCCUAUUUCAGUAAAUUUCCUCUGCAAAUAGUCAGGAUUGAGUGGGGAAGGGUCCAUUCAUUCUCCUUCCUCUGUAGCUGAUUCAAUGAGCCAUGAUUUUUGAGUUCUUCUUUCUUUACAGCUGGAUGAAAUUCCAGAAGGCUGAGAUAAAACAAUAUAGUAUGAGCAGGUACAACUUUGAUGUCAUUAGUUCUCACAUUUCUGGAUGUUUUCCUUUGCUCUGCAGCAACAGGGUUGUGACAUAAAGAUAUCUGAGUUAGCUUAGCUGCUGGUAAAUGGUUUAAUUUCAGUACUGUUACAGUGGUACAGUCACUUCUAGUCAAAGUGUUGGCUGUUAAUGUUGAUGCUAAUCCUCUGCUGCUGGUGUGCAGUAAGGAACAGUCCCACUUUGGAACGGUGACAUGCCAGGGCUCACUUGUUCAUUCCUGCAAACCUUUUCUGCUCUCCCUCAAGACAUAAAGACAUUCUUUGCUCUCUACAAGAAAAAACACUGGAGACUUCUGGAGACUGAUGUUUUGGACAUCACUAAGAGAGAACUCCUGGGGGGUGAGAUCUCAAGCCUUCUUGAAUGUCACUGAAACGAUGUCUGUUCUGGCUGAAGAGUUCUUUCAAGAAGCUGGAUAAGGGGACAUAAAAAUGGAUUUACCAGCCUCUAUCUAUCCUCCUUUAAUUGCUGCCUACACCAGAAAGAUAAGGUGAUGAACUUGGCUCUUUGGCAGAAUUCAAAAUUGUGCAGUGGAUUCCUGAGGCUCUGGGACAGGACAACCAAUCACACGGGAGUCUGACAUUCAUGUGAGUCUGCUGUUCUCUUGAUGCCAAACAAAAUAU